rnacentral:lncRNA from 1 species
ACUGGACUAACUGAAUUUCUAAUUCAGGGAUGGAAGGUUUCUGGGCACAGUCAAGUACUUGCAAAGUCAGAGUGUGAUCGAGAUAGGAUUGACCACUCCAAGAGUUGGAGAAGAAUGAGUCGCUGUAUUUCAAUUUAGCAAAACCUUGGCCAGGGUAAUCCAUUAGAUGGAUUUGAUAUUUUGAAAUACAAUGGGGACAACCUGAUCAGAGUUGACAGUUGAACUCUGGGGUGUCCUAUGAUCAUUUUGGUCAAGGGGAUGAAUUAUAUGAAAACUAUAUCCGCAUGGGUUCUAAGGAUGUUGUUCUACACAUUCGAUCUAUCCGGUCAUCGGGUACCAUUGCUAGAUGGUCACUUUGAUUGGUACAGAAAUUUAUUUCUAUGCUAUCGGCAUAGGUUCGGAUCUAUGAGGUCACACACAUUAGAGUUCAUGAUCUGAUCGGAUGGUUGAUCAACGAUUAAGAAUCGUUCUAGGGUUAAAUGAUCAAUACGAUUGACAUUUAACCCAAUGCAAGUAUUGCAGGAGGAUCGAUUAGCAAUUCGAU